GCCUGGGUGGCUCAGUGUUUUGAGCAUCAGACUUCGGCUCAGGUCAUGAUCUAGUGGGUGGUGAGUUCAAACCCCACGUCAGGCU
rnacentral:tRNA from 1 species